GGGGGGCAUCUAAGAGCUGAGAUGCUUACCUGAUACAACCUUCCUAGAGAAAACUCUGAAGUUUCCUGCUUGUAGUACUUGAGCUAGUUCUGCGAGUCUCAAAUCCUCAGAGAUAUAG